rnacentral:lncRNA from 1 species
UGUUGAAAUUCAGGGUUUGGUGCAUUUAUGUGUGUUUCAAAACUUAGUUUUCUAAAUAUCACAGUGAAAAAUAAGAUUAAAAUAAUUAUUAUCUGAAUGAUGCAUAUAUAAAAAUAUAAAACCAUAUGGAUCUAUUUCAUAUGCUGAAAUUGAUAUAUGCUGAAAUUCAGAUUGUGAUCAAAUCACAUACCUAUUUUACAAUUUCUUUCUUCAAAACUAGAUCUGAAAGAGAUGAGG